GUGCUUGCUUCAGCAGCACAUAUACUAAAAUUGGAACCAUACAGAGAAGAUUAGCAUGGACCCAGCUCAAGGAUGACACGUAAAUUCGUGAAGUUUUCCAUAUGAAA
ensembl:snRNA U6 U6 spliceosomal RNA